UGUGUGUGUGUGUGUGUGUGUGUGUGUGUGUGUGUGUGUGUGUGUGUGUUUGUGUUUGUUCUUUGUCCUCGUCGUCAAUCCCUGUCUCGCUGUGAGCACGGCAGCAGCAGGGACUGGCCUAGUAGUACACACAUUCUGACUCGAUUAUCACGAUAAUUUGGAAAUUCUCCCGGCGGGUAAUAUUUAGACUCCACUGUUUGCUCGGAGACAAGCGUUCCGUGCCUGCUGUAUUGUCUCCCGCUCCUGUCGAGGCAGUAUUGUUUGCUUGGCGACUCCUACUCCCUGCCUGCCCUCUCCUACAGUGGCACCCUCUUCUCCCUGCACCAUUCCGCCGUCCCCUGCCUCUUCCCCUUCACUGUAGCUCACUCUUGUGCUCCCUGCCGACCUCCUCCCUACCUACAGUGGCACCCUCUUUGCCAGGGUUCGCGCAGGAUGGCUGGCACUAGGAAGGGAAGGAGAGGAGAGAGAGAGGAGGGGGGGCAGCGGUAGAGGCGCGGGUGGACGUCGGAGCCAGUGAGCGUUGGGCAGUGUGAGGAGGCGGGCGCGCGGCACCAACGCACGCACACGUCUGAAAGUCCUCGUCACGCACACCUGUUCGGGCCGCGUGUUCUCUUCUCUUCCCAGAAAACUUAUCUAUUACCUGUGUGGUCUGGGAAGUAAUUGCCUUUAUACCUCGUGUGAACCUGCGAGUGUACCGUGGAGGCGAGGAGUCGCCGGGAAGACACUCCGGCCCUGCGUAAGGAAAAUCAUGCUAAACUCGUUGCUAUCCAUUUAGUGAGAGCGUGACGGACAUCAACGAAAUAGUGUGCACUGCAAGUAUUAGCGAUGGUGUGAAGGUGUAGAUCAGUGUUACGAGGAUGACUUGAGUGUGAACCUUUAAUAUCGUGAA